rnacentral:rRNA from 1 species
UGGGGAAUCUUGCGCAAUGGGGGAAACCCUGACGCAGCAACGCCGCGUGGGUGAUGAAGGCCUUCGGGUCGUAAAGCCCUGUCAGGUGGGAAGAACCGUAUCGGUACAAACAGUGCCGAUGCUUGACGGUACCACUGGAGGAAGCGCCGGCUAACUCCGUGCCAGCAGCCGCGGUAAUACGGAGGGUGCAAGCGUUGUUCGGAAUUACUGGGCGUAAAGCGCGUGCAGGCGGUUGAGCAAGUCAGAUGUGAAAGCCUUCCGCUUAACGGAAGAAGUGCAUUUGAAACUACUCGGCUAGAGUUCGAGAGAGGAGAGUGGAAUUCCCGGUGUAGAGGUGAAAUUCGUAGAUAUCGGGAGGAACACCGGUGGCGAAGGCGGCUCUCUGGCUCGAUACUGACGCUGAGACGCGAAAGCGUGGGGAGCAAACAGGAUUAGAUACCCUGGUAGUCCACGCCGUAAACGAUGGGCACUAGGUGUAGGAGGUAUUGACCCCUUCUGUGCCGAAGCUAACGCAUUAAGUGCCCCGCCUGGGGAGUACGGCCGCAAGGCUA